UGGCUCAGUGGUUAAGAGCACUGGAUAUUGUUCAGAGGAUCUGGGUUCAAUUCCUAG
rnacentral:tRNA from 1 species